CAUUUGGGGCGGGGCGCUGGCCUAGAAGUGAAGCGCAUUGACUUGGGGCUUGUGACAUCAGCCAUGACUGAGUUCCCCCGUUUCAGAGCUCUCAGGAGGAUUACCCCUCUUCAUUAAGCCUGAUUGCAGAGCAUUUGUAAUUACUGUGGCUUAACUAUGGUCCGCUAAGGCAUGAAAGAAGUCACUGGAAGGACAGCGGGAAUAUCUAACAUUGCCUAAAGGACAAGGCUUAGGAAACACAGAAACUGGCGCAGCUCAAAGAGGAUCAGGAAGCAGCACAUCUGAGAAAUGUCAAAGCGAGAAGAAAUAUCUUAGCGACUGUGACUGUAUUAAAAUUUUGGAGAAGAGUGGCCUGCUUAAUGAAAUCACCCAGCACAGCCACGCUGGGAAUAUUUCCUUUUGCCUCUAUUCGAUUGGUUUAAUGCUCCAUGUUCAUCAGGAGUCAUGAAUGAGAGUCACAGUGAGACAGCUCCUUGCUCCAGUAAGAAUGAUUAUUAUGAAAAGGCUACAGAGAAACGAAAGCUAAUGCAUAUGUGGGGAAAAAGAACUCUUACACAUUGCCAGUGGGAGUGUAAAUUAGUACCAUAGGCCAAAAAACUACACUACAGAGCUGCCAUAUGAUCGGGCAGUCUCACUCCCGUGCAUAUAUAUCCGAAGGAAAUGAAAUCAGUAUGGCAAAGAGAGAGCCUCUAUGUUCACUGCAGCGCUGAUCACAGUAGCCAAGAAAUGGAAACAACCAAAGUACCCGUCAGGAAGUGAACAAAUGAGGGAAACGUUGUGCGUAUACGAAAUGGAGUAUUGCUCAGCCACAAAGAAGAGCGAAGUCCGGUCAUUUGUGACAAAGAAAGAUGGAAGUGGAGAUCAUUAGGUCAAGUAAAAUAAGCCAAGCACAGAAUGACCAGUACCACAUCAUUUUAAAAAAGUGGAUUGCAUAUGCGUCAAAAGAAGAAUGGCAGUUAGCAGAGGCUGGGACAGAAGAGGAAAGAGAGUAUGGAAGCCUGAGAGGCUGAACGAACUAUUUGGGGACCAAGCUAGGAAGACGGAGUAAGGAGUGAAACCCUGGAAGGCCAGCUCCAGAGCACUCCUGAGCACACAGUUCUGAAU